GACGAACGCUGGCGGCGUGCUUAACACAUGCAAGUCGAACGGAAAGGCCCUGCUUUUGUGGGGUGCUCGAGUGGCGAACGGGUGAGUAACACGUGAGUAACCUGCCCUUGACUUUGGGAUAACUUCAGGAAACUGGGGCUAAUACCGGGUAGGAGCUCCUGCUGCAUGGUGGGGGUUGGAAAGUUUCGGCGGUUGGGGAUGGACUCGCGGCUUAUCAGCUUGUUGGUGGGGUAGUGGCUUACCAAGGCUUUGACGGGUAGCCGGCCUGAGAGGGUUGCCGGCCACAUUGGGACUGAGAUACGGCCCAGACUCCUACGGGAGGCAGAAGUGGGGAAUAUGGCACAAUGGGCGGAAGCCUGAUGCAGCAACGCCGCGUGCGGGAUGACGGCCUUCGGGUUGUAAACCGAUUUCGCCUGUGACGAAGCGUGAGUGACGGUAAUGGGUAAAGAAGCACCGGCUAACUACGUG
rnacentral:rRNA from 1 species